CAUGUGGGUGAAUAAGUUCAAGUCACUGAAUGAAGAUUUGGAAAGACUUGCACGACAGCAAGCAGAGCUGGCGAGCAAACACAAGUGGACAGAAAUGAAAAAACUUCAACCCGCAGACCAGCUGAUUGUCCAAACUUGGAACGCGCUUCCUGUCAUAUACCACACACUGCAGCGUGUGAGUAUUGCCGUAUUAACCAUGUUUGGCUCUACGUAUGCAUGUGAACAGUCGUUCUCACAUCUAAAAAACAUCAAGACCAACCUACGAUCACGUUUAACAGAUGGAAGCCUCAACGCCUGCAUGAAGCUUAACCUCACCACGUAUCAACCAGACUACAAAGCCAUCAGCAAAACCAUGCAGCACCAGAAGUCACAUUAAUGUGUCCCUGGUCCAUCCACUCCCCCUGACAGUGCUGCCGGCACCUCCACCCACUCAUGUGUUCUCCGACGGACUGUAUGCCUUGAUUCCCUGGCAUUGGAUGUCUCGACUCAGGCUCUGUUGGUUUCUGCAGCGGUCCUCUUUUCCAGCUAGACGCCGGUUCUACCUUCCAGACCGGGGCAGCGACCAGCCUAGUUUUCCCUGCAGAUACACCGCUCUAGUGCCUUGCUUCUCCCUCGUCUCUCCAGCGCCCAGUGUCCUCUGCUCUGCCCGGUAGAUGGUUUACCUCUCUGUCUGUGUAAUAAACAUCCGUUGUUA